GAUGAACGCUAGCGGGAGGCUUAACACAUGCAAGUCGAGGGGCAGCAUAGGGUAGCAAUACUCUGAUGGCGACCGGCAAACGGGUGAGUAACGCGUAUGCAACCUACCCUGUACAGGGGGAUAACCCGGAGAAAUUCGGACUAAUAUCCCGUAAUAAUAUCCGGAGGCAUCUUUGGAUAUUUAAAGUUCCGACGGUACGGGAUGGGCAUGCGUAACAUUAGCUGGUUGGUAAGGUAACGGCUUACCAAGGCUAUGAUGUUUAGGGGUCCUGAGAGGGUGGUCCCCCACACUGGUACUGAGACACGGACCAGACUCCUACGGGAGGCAGCAGUGAGGAAUAUUGGUCAAUGGGCGCAAGCCUGAACCAGCCAUCCCGCGUGCAGGAAGACGGCCCUAUGGGUUGUAAACUGCUUUUCCAGGGAGAGAAACUUACGCACGUGUUGCGUGACUGACGGUACCCCGGGAAUAAGCAUCGGCUAACUCCGUG
rnacentral:rRNA from 1 species